UAACCUGCCCAAGAGAUCGGGAUAACACCUGGAAACAGAUGCUAAUACCGGAUAACAACAGAUGAUGCCUAUCAACUGUUUAAAAGAUGGUUCUGCUAUCACUCUUGGAUGGACCUGCGGUGCAUUAGCUAGUUGGUAGGGUAACGGCCUACCAAGGCGAUGAUGCAUAGCCGAGUUGAGAGACUGAUCGGCCACAUUGGGACUGAGACACGGCCCAAACUCCUACGGGAGGCAGCAGGG
rnacentral:rRNA from 1 species